AGUGAACGCUGGCGGUAGGCCUAACACAUGCAAGUCGAACGGCAGCACAGUAAGAGCUUGCUCUUACGGGUGGCGAGUGGCGGACGGGUGAGGAAUACAUCGGAAUCUACUUUUUCGUGGGGGAUAACGUAGGGAAACUUACGCUAAUACCGCAUACGACCUACGGGUGAAAGCAGGGGAUCUUCGGACCUUGCGCGAUUGAAUGAGCCGAUGUCGGAUUAGCUAGUUGGCGGGGUAAAGGCCCACCAAGGCGACGAUCCGUAGCUGGUCUGAGAGGAUGAUCAGCCACACUGGAACUGAGACACGGUCCAGACUCCUACGGGAGGCAGCAGUGGGGAAUAUUGGACAAUGGGCGCAAGCCUGAUCCAGCCAUACCGCGUGGGUGAAAAAGGCCUUCGGGUUGUAAAGCCCUUUUGUUGGGAAAGAAAAGCAGCAGGUUAAUACCCCGCUGUUCUGACGGUACCCAAAGAAUAAGCGCCGGCUAACUUCGUG
rnacentral:rRNA from 1 species